rnacentral:rRNA from 1 species
UGAACUGGGUGACUAGAGUGKGUCAGAGGGAGGUAGAAUUCCACGUGUAGCAGUGAAAUGCGUAGAGAUGUGGAGGAAUACCGAUGGCGAAGGCAGCCUCCUGGGAUAACACUGACGUUCAUGCUCGAAAGCGUGGGUAGCAAACAGGAUUAGAUACCCUGGUAGUCCACGCCCUAAACGAUGUCAAUUAGCUGUUGGGCAACUUGAUUGCUUAGUAGCGUAGCUAACGCGUGAAAUUGACCGCCUGGGGAGUACGGUCGCAAGAUUAAAACUCAAAGGAAUUGACGGGGACCCGCACAAGCGGUGGAUGAUGUGGAUUAAUUCGAUGCAACGCGAAGAACCUUACCUGGUCUUGACAU